AAUAUCCCUUGUAUCACUUUCCUUUGGAGGAUACACUGCAGCCCCACCGCUCCCAAUAUAAAGCUUCUCGCUUGUUGCCCAGGCUGGAGUGCAAUGGUGCGAUCUCAGCUUACUAAAUCUUCCGCCUGACAUGUUCAAGCAAUUCUCCUGCCUCAGCCUCCCAAGUAGCUGGAAUUACAGGUGCCCACCACCAUGUCCAGCUAAUUUUUUUUUUUUUUUUUUUUUUGUAUUUUUAGUAGAGACGGGUUUUCACCAUGUUGGCCAGCCCGGUCUUGAACUCCGUCAGCCUCCCAAAGUGCUAGGAUUAACAGGCGUGAGCCGGCACGCCCGGCCUCCCCGCUGAAUCCUUUCUUCAUUUUAUCAUAAUCCUUCUAAAUACACUUUCGGGAACUUUAAAAGAUGCCUACCACCAUUUGUCUCUCAUGAAGAUGUGAACUGCGACUGGAAACAGCUCAGUCUCUCACAGGGAAAGCACAAUGACACAGAAGGAAAUAUAGAAGUCCCCAAAUUAGGAAUCUUGGAUUUUAGACCCAGUGUUCCCUUAACUGCUUAAAGUGUGACCUCAAAUAGGAUCUCGCUGAUGCCCUGGAUACUGCCACAAGGGAUUCGCGUGGGCUGGAGUGCAGUAGCACCAUCACAGCUCACUGCAGCUGCAGGAUCACAGUUCAUUGCCCCUUCAACUUCCUGGCCUCAAGCCAUCCUUCUGCCUUGGCCUCCUGAGUAGCUUGGACUACUGGUGCUAGCCACCAUGCCCAGGAGGAUGAAAUUUAACCACAUCAAAGAAACCUACAGCUCUGAUACUCUCAGAAAAAAUAAGACUCAACACAAAGAGAGUAAAAAGAGUUAUUCUGUCAACGAAGGGUCUUGACCGAAUAAUGUAUACAUCAGAUCUUUUCAUCUUGCACUUCUUGGACACUGUGAUUCAAAAGGGAGAUUAUUUGUGUCAGUAAAGAAGUAUCCAUAAUGAUAAAACACAAGUACUUCAAAGAACAACCUGUGCUUCUCAAAAGGAAAAUAGUUUGGAUCCAUUUACUUUUCUCCUCUACUUCACAUUCUAAAUGACUGAGAAAAUGUCUUCUCGUUUUCAAUACAACCCAUGGGAAAUCAUACUCAAAUAAGUAGUAACUGAAUGAACUAAUCUGGAAAAGUGGUCCUCAAUUUGUUUCUGUAAUAUCAGCUAUCACAAUACUGCCUUGAUAUUUCAUACAAUUCUGCAGAGUAUAAAAAAGCAAAAGCCUCUAAAAGUUGGUACUAGAAUGUACUACACGCUCAAUAUAGACCACAAAAUGGAUCAGACAUGAAGCUUAGUAUUGUCUGUGUGCACAGUGUUUAAAUAUUCCCUUGUUUUAAAAGUGCCAGUGUUUGUUAAGUAACUUAAAAUAUUUGCCACAUGUAGCUUAUUUUUUUUACUUUUUAUUAUAUUUUUGUCAUAGGUAAAAAAGUGAAAAGAUUUAUGACAGUCAUUUUUUUAAAACUAAGUUAAGCUAUAUAAAUUGUUGUGAAAUAAAAUACAUUUUAAUUAUAUACAAUAAAGAUCCUAAUUUUAAUUUGCAAGUAUUUUCAAGAUUACAAGUAACGUUAUCAAUUGUUUUACUUAUAACAAUAUUCCUAGGGUGUCUACAUUUAAUAAUUCUAAGUUUUUAAAACAAUUUUAAACUAUUUCAUUUAACAGACAAUACAAACUAACUAAGAUAAAUUGAGAAAUAUAAAUAUCCCUCACCUGUGUUUUUAAAAUUAGAGACAACUUUUGUAUCAUUCCAGAUAUAAUUUAUACCUAUAUAAAUGUGUUUAUUUUAAAUGUGCCAUUUAAAAGAACUGGUUUAUGCUUUGAAAUGGCUGCAUAAUAUUCUACUCUACCUAGAUACCAUUAAAUAUUGAAUCAGCUCUCUAUUGUGUGUUUUUUGCUGUUGUUACUGACAGAUUUUGUAAUUACAAUGCAGAUUAAAAACUUGUUUUAAAAAAUGUGAUUUUGCUCAUAGACAUAUGUCUUUAGAAUACAUUCGUCAUAGUACAAUUGCUGAGACAAAGAGUUUACGCAUUUGGAAAUUUUAUAAAUAUUAUCACAUUGCUUUCUAUCAAUAUCAUCUCACAAGUAUAAUGACAAGUGAAAGAUACUAGGUAUGAACAUUUAUGUAGUAUUCAAAAGCAGAUAAGUUUAUUACCCUGUCAGAAGAUAGCAAAAUGAUUAACUUUAUGAAGGUUUCAAGCACUUAGUUUGAGGGAAGGCAGGAUAGGCAGUUUCAUGAGAAAGGUAUGUCCCAUCUCUUGAUCAGGGUGAAGUUUAAAUGGAGUUGUUUCCUUGAUGAUGCAUCAAAGUCACCACUUGAAAUUUGAUUACUUUUUAAUAUAUGCUAUACUUCAAAAUGUUUAUUAACAUGCAAAUCAUAUAAUGAAUUCCAUUAAUUUAGUGAGAGAAAUUUUUUUUAUAUGCUUCGAAGUCAUUUGUUUUGUUGUUUGCGUUUACUCAGAACAGUGUGUCAAUCUCCUUGACUGAUAUUUCUAUUGUUUCUAGCAGGUCAUUUAAUAGUUUAUAAUGUUUAUAUUUUCAAAGUUUAUUGGGGUGUAAUUUAUUUAUAAUACUGUACAUAUUUAAAGUUCAAAAUAAGUUAAGCCUUAACAUGUAUAUACAGCCAUGAACACAUAACCAUAAAGUAGGUCCUAAAUAUAUUCACCACUCACAAAUGUUUCCUUGUGAACCUUUGUCAUUCCACCCGCCCUUACUUCUUCCGCAUAAUCUCCAUCUAUAGCAACUACCAAUCUAUUUUCUGUUAUUAUAAAUUAAUGUGCAUUUUCUGGAAUUUUAUAUAAAUGGAAUCAUAUCAUAUGUACUUUGUUUUGUCUUGUUUUUUCAGUAAAAUUAUUUUGAGAUUCAUACAUGUUGUUACAUGUAUCAAUAGUUCAUUACUUUUUAUUGUUGAGUAGUAUUUCAUCAUAUGGAUAUGCCACAAUGUGUUCACACCUUAACAUAAAUUUGUCAAUGUAGUUUCCAGUCAUUGGUUAUUAAAUAUAAAGUUUCUUGAAAACUGAUCUAUAAGUAUUGAUAUGGAAUGUGAUUUCUUUUCUCUUGGGUAAAUUCCUGGAAGAAAAUUGGUUCUAUCAAAUGGUGUUUGCAUGUUUAACAGUUAUAGCCAAACCAUUUUCCAAAGUGGUUGUAAUAUUUUACAUUCCUCACAGCAGUGUAUGAGAAAUCAAAUUGUUCCAAAAGUUUGCUAAGACUUGUACAUUUAGAUGUAUCACCAAUUUUGGGUAAAUUUUUGUACUAAUUGUGAGUUGCAAUUGAGGUUCACUUUUUUAUAUGGAUACUCCUUUUUUUACACAAUACAUGUUGAAAGCAUCACCUUGUAUUAAUUGAACUGCCUUUGCAUCUUAUUAAAAUCAGUUUCAAUAUAUGUGAGGUUCUAUUUCUGAACUCUAUUCUCUGUUACAUUGAUUUAUGUGAACACUUUUUCACUGAAGCCACACUAUUUUGAGAACUGUAGUCUUGAAAUUGAGUAUUGGUAAUCCUCUAAAUGUGUUUGUUUUUAUAAAAAUUGUUUUGGCUAUUUAGAUCACUUUGCCAUUCAAAUAAAAUUUAAAAUCUGCUUGUUGAUAGCUACAGAAAAGUUACUGGCAUUUUAACUAGGAAUACAUUAAACUUAUAGAUAAGAUUGAGGAGAAUUGCCAUUUUAUUCUUCCAAUUAAUGGCUAUAUUACAUG
rnacentral:lncRNA from 10 species